rnacentral:misc_RNA from 1 species
CGGACAUGUAUGUAUAUCUGGAAUACUAAAAAUCCAGUACAUAAUAAGCAUAGUAUUUGGAAUUUCAAAUUACAUGUAAAAACAAGGUUUCUCAGCUCUGGCAAGAGCAAUUGAGAUUUAUAAUCAAGAAGUUUUGACACAUUCAAAACGACAGAUGUGCACUGCUGCUCAAAAUAUACACACCAACACUGUCUGAUCUUUGUAACAUACAAUGAUCGAUCUAUGACCAACCAAAGACGUAGUCAAGAACAUACACGAGUACAAGGGAGAACGGAUAAAAAGCAAAAGCUAUCAAACUAGUCCACAGAGGAAAGGUGGUGCGGAUGCUCCCUAAGACCCCAAUAACAAUGCAAACAAUUAGGAUAACCAGCACUUCAGAUGAGAAGUUCCAUGUUAGACCUCGGGCAUAAACAAUAGCCAAGAAGACUGAGAGACAAAGGAGAUUGUUCAUAGUCACAGCUCCAUAUAACUCAGAAAAUGUUAAUGACGCGGAUCUCUGCUUUUUCCGGGUAGCAAAAAUUAUAGCCGACACUGCCUCACUGGAGUUUGUUGCCAGAGGCAGUGCAAUGAAUGAGAUAAAGAAAGAUGGAAUACUUGUGGCACUGGAGAAAUUGUUAACAGCAUCCACCAAAGGAUCAGCAAAGACAGCAGCAAUAAUGGUACCCAACAACAACAAUGACGCGGCCUUAAUAGCAACUUUUCGAGGAUUCUCGACGCCCUCAACAAUUUCAUCACUUUGAUCCUCCCCCAAGAGACUGUGCUCUCUCCUUGUUUCCUCAUGAAAAUCAUCAAUGUAGUUGAUGGUAUUAGGACCAGCCUGAGCAGAAGAACCAUUAGUACUCUUGGCUUCAUAAAGCCAUUUUUCAACUCCAGUAAUGAAUUCAUGCAGGUCAACUUGUUCAUCAAGAGACGUAUCGAAGUCCUUCAUAACCUUUGCUAUUGCAUCAUUUUCAUCUAAGUUAAUCUCCUCAAGACGGAUUCCUACGACCAGAGCUCUUAAUUCAGAAUGGGAAAGAUGUUUAUCACCAUUUUCAUCAAUUGCAUUGAACAGCUUUUCUAAAACUUCUAUAUUUGGUGUUCCAUGAUCUGUGAAAAGCCUCCCUAAUGCGUGCUUUUUUAAAUGCUUCAAGAUUCCUGAUAUAACAUGCUUAUGUUUUACAUAAUCAAGUUUUCGUGUUUGUAUCCAAGGCUGAAAGACCUGAUACAGACAAUAAGAGAGGAGCAGCGACAAUGAUAUGAUAAGAGCUAUCAAGACAGAUAAAUGUCUUCCUGAAUUUGAAUGGAAGAUCUGUGGUAACUGCACAACAAUAAAUGGAAGAACAGAUACGGCCAUGAUCAUUGCAGCAUAGCUUGUCCAGAUAUCAGUACUAACACCAGAACCAGUAAAACUGAGCCCUUUAGUGUCUUUCAAGUCCACAGCAAUAGAAUUUACUAUAUCACACUUGCCAACAGUGCAACAGGUUCCCCAUAUCGCAGUAAGAAGCAUCACUGUCGACCCAGCUAACAAGCCUAUUCCUACAGAGACCUGGCUCUGAGCUUCUGCAGCACUUCCAGUAAUCCCGGAUACGAGAAUAAGCAUAGCAUCAGGAAGAGCACCGAGAAUCGGCAGGAAAAGUCCACCGAUUAGACCCGGCCCCAAAAUUUCAAGCAAUAACUCGCUACCGGAGGAGAGGUACGUAGCCGCCGUAAACAUAAGGUAACCAUACACAACAAUAAGGAACACAUUUCCUAGAGCAGUUUUAGUGCACGGCAAAAAUCCAUAGCUCUGUUCACAUGCCUCUUCUACUGGUGCAGCAAAUAGCGAGAUAAUUCCUCUUUCACGGCCAAUACUAGUACUAUUUCUGCCUCCGCCGCCGUGAACUCCAUCGGAGAUGAGAUCCGACGAUGACUGAUCGACGAUUACCCGGCCGCCGUACACGGCGGUAGAUAAAAUGAAGAUAAAUAGGAGAGUGAAGAACGAUUUGGGGAACAUAUUUG